CCUACGGGUGGCAGCAGUGGGGGAUAUUGCACAAUGGGGGGAACCCUGAUGCAGCGACGCCGCGUGGGUGAAGGAGCGUUUCGGCGCGUAAAGCCCUAUCGGCAGGGAAGAAGAUGACGGUACCUGACCAAGAAGCCCCGGCUAACUACGUGCCAGCAGCCGCGGUAAUACGUAGGGGGCAAGCGUUAUCCGGAUUUACUGGGUGUAAAGGGGGCGCAGACGGCAAUGCAAGUCUGAAGUGAAAGCCCGCGGCUCAACUGCGGAACGGCUUUGGAAACUGUGUAACUGGAGUGCUGGAGAGGUAAGCGGAAUUCCUGGUGUAGCGGUGAAAUGCGUAGAGAUCAGGAGGAACACCGGCGGCGAAGGCGGCUUACUGGACAAUAACUGACGUUGAGGCUCGAAAGCGUGGGGAGCAAACAGGAUUAGAUACCCUAGUAGUC
rnacentral:rRNA from 1 species